AAGGAUCUGUACACAAUUCCUGGAGGCUGAGAAUUUCCCAGUCCCCCCACCAUGGUCUGCAUAAUCACCAGACGUCACCACACCCGUUGAGCAUGUUUGGGAUGCUCUGGAUCGACGUGUAUGACGGUGUGUUCCAGUUCCCGACGAUAUCCGGUAUCGUCACACAACCAUUGAAGAGGAGUGGACAACUCUCUGUGAAGAUGUCACGCUGCAAUAAGGCAAAUGAUGGUCACACCCAGACACCAACUGGUUUUCUGAUCUACGCCAUAAAUUAGGGCCGAAAUCAAAUUUUUCAGUUGACUGAUUUCCUCAUAUGAACUGUAACUCCAGUAAAAUCUUUGAAAUGUUGUUCAGUACAAUCCUGUCUGUUUCCCCUCUCCCUGUAGAGAUUAGUAAAGAUGGCCUUCCAGGCAAACCUACCGUGAAGAGACCAGGUUCCUCACCUGACAUGAAACCUGCUGGUCCGAAGAAGGCCAGAUCAGACCAGUGAGGGGUUACCUUCCUCUCCCCUUGUUGUCCAUGAUGACUAUGACUGAACUGAAUACAAUACCGCAGGCUCCACCUAGACCCCGGACUCCAACCUCUACCAGAACCCCAUCUAACCCUACAACAGCACAUCCUGAACCCAGACCAGGCCCCCCAUCCUGAACCCAGACCAGGCCCCCAUCCUGAACACAGACCAGGCCCCCCAUCCUGAACACAGACCAGGCCCCCCAUCCUGAACACAGACCAGGCCCGACCACCCAUCAGUCACAAAAUGGCUGCAAAAUAGAUAAAGCUGAGAAACACCAGAUCCCCUGCCCUCAUCACUGGACGCCUUAUUUCAUUCUUCUGUAUAUUAUUAUUAUUAUUAUUAUUGAUAUUUACUUGUUUAAACCAUGGAACGCACAUAAUUAACUUUUUUAUUUUCUGUGGAAUACAAAAAAACGGUUCGGUCUAGUUUAACUGUUGUUGCUAGAUAGUUCUCUAGUCUCGUUCAUGCGUUUCCUCUCCCCUGUUAAUCUACACAAGCAAUAGACAACACAAAUAACUGCUCAUAAUAUAAUCUAGUGUAUCUCAUUAUUGGAGGAGGGGGGGAUGUGGGCAUCAGUAGGUUGCUUUCAGAAGAAUCAGACGGUUGCUAUAGGAGAUGGUUGGAACAUAAGAAGAUGACGUCAUUGUCACAUCGUCAUAGAGAUUUAAUAAAUACACCAAACGGACAGCAGGUCGCUGGGGAGAGGACAAGUGUUCCCCAUUCCAAGGGAAUCCUCAUCGACCAAUCAAUACUCUGUAUCUGUCCUGGCUGUCAUCUUGCUUUGUGACAUCACUGUGUUUUUAAUGUGUAGCUAUGUCAGAGAGGAGACUGAGUUAAAGGGUUAGCUUCAGAAAAAAUUACCUGUGGUUCAUGUAGGUUUAGGAGACUGCUUUAUUCUCCCUCUAGUUGACAAUCUACUCCGGUAGUUUCUCUGCUUUCAUUGGAGGAGUUUGUUGACAGUGAUUUGGCUGACUGCCAGGGUGUGACAGUGAUUUGGCUGACUGCCAGGGUGAAACAACCCAAUACGUAUUUUAUAACCUUAUUUGACCGUUUCAGAAUUGGUGGUGUAAGGAACGAUUUACGUAACAAGGACUUUUUGUACUUGUUCUGCUGCAGAACAUAAGAUUUGUCAGAAAAAGAGGAGUGGAUUGUUUUAUUUUUGUUUACUCAUUUUUUUUCUUAUUAAAGAAAUUAAUUUGCUGGAAAAAAAUAUUUAUUUUUACCCCCCUUUCAAUCUGUCUAUUCCGUAGUAGAAUUAAUUUGUUGGACUAUGGAAUUCAAAAGGUUAUUUUUAUUUUCCCAAGGCCUGUUUUCUUUUAUUUUCUUCUUUUUUUUUGUUGAUAAAUCCCAGUUUAUUCCGCCCCCAAAUUGUGGAGGAAGUUUUUCGUAUUGAUAAACAUUUACAUUUUGUUUUUGGUGUAUUAUGUGUUAAGGUAUGCAAUUGUGUAACGUGCCGAGUGUUUUCCACGUAGUCUUUUUAGAGCGGAACGGUUUUUAGUUACCUAGUGUGGAUAUGAUGGCAGGAAGAGUGAUUGAUUGGCGCAGCUAGUAUCGGCUCAGUUGUAAAUAAGUUCCUUCACGUAGCAAGAAGUUAAAAAUAAAAUAAGAAACGUUUAAAAAAUAUAAAAAAAACAUUUGAAAAAAAAAUGGCUUUUUAUAUAAUUAUCUGUAACAAAAUUGGCUUUUAUAUGUUUGUCAUCUCGGUUGCUUUGUCUAGAUAUAAAAAAAAUAAUAAUAAUUAAAAAGGAAAUGUCUUCCUGCUCUGUCUUGUUCUCGCUUCUGUUUUUCCUCAUUGACUAUAAUGCAGAACCCUUCUUCUUGAUAUCGUUGCUAUGGUUAUAAUGCCCAAGUUGCGUUGGCAGGCAGGGAGGUCAGGAGGUUGUAUUAAGAACCCAACAUAGAAAUAGAAUCUAGAAGCGAUUGUUGAACAGCAACAGCUAGCUGAUGGAGAUUUGAGCUUUGUUCAAUCUGAUCUGACAGAUGUUUCGGUAUUAAAUUGUUUGUGAAUAUUACUAUGAAAAAUAAAACUUUUUAGUGCAUCCUUUUCUUACAA
ensembl:lncRNA